rnacentral:rRNA from 1 species
GUCUACGGCCAUGCCACCCCGAACAAACCUGAUGUCUGAGCUCGGAAGCUAAGCAGGGUUGGGCCUGGUUAGUAUUUGAAUGGGAGAUCACCUAGGAAGACUAGGUGCUGUAGGCA